GAUGAACGCUGGCGGCGUGCCUAAUACAUGCAAGUCGAGCGAACAGACGAGGAGCUUGCUCCUCUGACGUUAGCGGCGGACGGGUGAGUAACACGUGGAUAACCUACCUAUAAGACUGGGAUAACUUCGGGAAACCGGAGCUAAUACCGGAUAAUAUAUUGAACCGCAUGGUUCAAUAGUGAAAGACGGUUUUGCUGUCACUUAUAGAUGGAUCCGCGCCGCAUUAGCUAGUUGGUAAGGUAACGGCUUACCAAGGCAACGAUGCGUAGCCGACCUGAGGGGUGGUUCGGCCACACUGGAACUGGGCCACGGUCCAGGCUCCUGCGGAGGCAGCAGUAGGGAAUCUUCCGCAAUGGGCGAAAGCCUGACGGAGCAACGCCGCGUGAGUGAUGAAGGUCUUCGGAUCGUAAAACUCUGUUAUUAGGGAAGAACAAAUGUGUAAGUAACUAUGCACGUCUUGACGGUACCUAAUCAGAAAGCCACGGCUAACUACGUG
rnacentral:rRNA from 1 species